rnacentral:rRNA from 1 species
GACGAACGCUGGCGGCGUGCCUAACACAUGCAAGUCAACUUGACUGAAGGAGCAAUCUGACAGUAGAGUGGCGCAAGGGUGCGUAACGCGUAAGUAACUUGCCCAAGGUAAGGAAUAACGUCGAGAAAUCGGCGCUAAUACCUCAUAAUGCAGCGGAUCCGCAUGGAUAUGUUGUUAAAGGUUUACCGCCUUGGGAUAGGCUUGCGUCUGAUUAGCUAGUUGGUGUGGUAACGGCACACCAAGGCUACGAUCAGUAACUGGUCUGAGAGGAUGAUCAGUCACACUGGAACUGAGACACGGUCCAGACUCCUACGGGAGGCAGCAGUGAGGAAUAUUGGGCAAUGCUCGAAAGAGUGACCCAGCAACGCCGCGUGGAGGAUGAAGGUAUUUUAUAUCGUAAACUCCUGUGAGAGCAGACGAAGACAGAUUAUUAAUCUGGAUGACUGUAUGCUCAGAGG